rnacentral:tRNA from 1 species
GCUCCCUUCGUCUAGUGGCCUAGGACGCGGCCCUCUCAAGGCUGAAACACGGGUUCGACUCCCGUAGGGAGCGCCA